rnacentral:rRNA from 1 species
UAUUGGGUUUAAAGGGUCCGUAGGCGGGCCGGUAAGUCAGGGGUGAAAGUCUGUAGCUCAACUAUAGAACUGCCUUUGAUACUGCCGGUCUUGAGUCAUGGUGAAGUUGGCGGAAUAUGUGGUGUAGCGGUGAAAUGCAUAGAUAUCACAUAGAACACCGAUUGCGAAGGCAGCUGACUAACCAUGUACUGACGCUGAUGGACGAAAGCGUGGGGAGCGAACAGGAUUAGAUACCCUGGUAGUCCACGCCGUAAACGAUGGAUACUAGCUGUCCGGGUCCUUGAGACCUGGGCGGCCAAGCGAAAGUGAUAAGUAUCCCACCUGGGGAGUACGUUCGCAAGAAUGAAACUCAAAGGAAUUGACGGGGGCCCGCACAAGCGGUGGAGCAUGUGGUUUAAUUCGAUGAUACGCGAGGAACCUUACCAGGGCUUAAAUGCAUUUUGACAGGGCCAGAGAUGGCCUUUCCUUCGGGCAAUUUGCAAGGUGCUGCAUGGUUGUCGUCAGCUCGUGCCGUGAGGUGUCAGGUUAAGUCCUAUAACGAGCGCAACCCCUACCGUUAGUUGCCAGCGAGUCAUGUCGGGGACUCUAACGGGACUGCCGGUGCAAACCGCGAGGAAGGUGGGGAUGACGUCAAAUCAUCACGGCCCUUACGUCCUGGGCCACACACGUGCUACAAUGGCAGGUACAGAGAGCAGCCACGUCGCAAGGCGGAGCGAAUCUAUAAAACCUGUCACAGUUCGGAUCGGGGUCUGCAACUCGACCCCGUGAAGCUGGAAUCGCUAGUAAUCGGAUAUCAGCCAUGAUCCGGUGAAUACGUUCCCGGGCCUUGUACACACCGCCCGUCAAGCCAUGGAAGCCGGGAGUGCCUGAAGUCCGUCACCGCAAGGAGCGGCCUAGGGCAAGAUCGGUAACUAGGGCUAAGUCGUAACAAGGUAGCCGUACCGGAAGGUGCGGCUGGAACACCUCCUUUCUAGA